GACGAACGCUGGCGGCGUGCUUAACACAUACAAGUCGAACGGAAAGGCCCUGCUUUUGUGGGGUGCUCGAGUGGCGAACGGGUGAGUAACACGUGAGUAACCUGCCCUUGACUUUGGGAUAACUUCAGGAAACUGGGGCUAAUACCGGAUAGGAGCUCCUGCUGCAUGGUGGGGGUUGGAAAGUUUCGGCGGUUGGGGAUGGACUCGCGGCUUAUCAGCUUGUUGGUGGGGUAGUGGCUUACCAAGGCUUUGACGGGUAGCCGGCCUGAGAGGGUGACCGGCCACAUUGGGACUGAGAUACGGCCCAGACUCCUACGGGAGGCAGCAGUGGGGAAUAUUGCACAAUGGGCGGAAGCCUGAUGCAGCAACGCCGCGUGCGGGAUGACGGCCUUCGGGUUGUAAACCGCUUUCGCCUGCGACGAAGCGUGAGUGACGGUAAUGGGUAAAGAAGCACCGGCUAACUACGUG
rnacentral:rRNA from 1 species